ACUCCCACUUCAAGCUUUCUCAAUACUUUAUCUCUUUUGAUAAGUUAGGCAAAUCAGAAGAAGGACCAAGUGUCUGUAGGCACAUAAAAAAGCACUUUUUUGAGAGAUCAGAUCUUUUUGAAUGGACAAAUAAAUUGGAUUACACUCCCAAGAGGAAGAUUCUUGGAACUACAAAAGAAAGAAUACAUAAUUAAAAAAAAAUUACUUUGCACAUUCCAUGACUCAACUGAUUUCUUUGCAAAUGUGCAAAAAAUAUUUGUUUCAGAGAGACUGAGAAGAAUGCCAACAGGACAUCUGAAAGUCACAUUUAGACAGCUGAUCUGAGACAAGUCUGAACACUCAGUGUUGAUAAUCUCAAAAUUUGAAGCUUAAAAUGCUGGAUAGAAACUCAGAAACGAUCAGAUUAAAAGAGAAGAAAACUAGAUUUGGGUCUCUCUCCUAAUGUGUUCAUCACAUCCUGAAGCCUCCUGGCUCACAACAGCAAUAUUACCAAUAUGUUAUGUUUGAGUUUCUUCUGUUUCUUCUGUCCAUUCCCACCUGUAGAUCAUUAUCUAUGGUUGUCCAACACUGCAGUUUCAGAUUCUCCUGACUCUUGAAAAAUUAAUGCAUUCAUUAUCCUUAUUCAUUACAAUAUUUGUCCAUCUUUGAAUCCUGCAAAUUAUUAUGCUUUGUUCAGUUAUCAUGCCACUUUUGUCAGUCCAGCUCUGUGUGCCCUCCAGCUAACCUUUUCUGCUCUCCAGGUCCCUAACUGAGGUGACACUCAGAGUUGCCUACACACUUAUACUCAAUGC
rnacentral:lncRNA from 1 species